rnacentral:rRNA from 1 species
GUGCCAGCAGCCGCGGUAAUCCCAGCUCCAAUAGCAUAUAUUAAAGUUGUUGCGGUUAAAACGCCCGUAGUUGGAUCAGCGGAUUUGGAGAACGGUCUGCCGAUGGCUGUACUGUUCUCCUGUCCUAUUUUCUCUAGUUCGCUCUAGGUGCUCUUCACUGAGUGUCUAGAGUGGCUGGAACUUUUACUUUGAAAAAAUUAGAGUGCUCAAAGCAGGCGUCUCAGCCUGAAUAGUGGUGCAUGGAAUAAUGGAAUAGGACCUCAGUUCUAUUUUGUUGGUUUUCGGAACAUGAGGUAAUGAUUAAGAGGGACAGACGGGGGCAUUCGUAUUGCGACGUUAGAGGUGAAAUUCUUGGAUCGUCGCAAGACGAACUACUGCGAAAGCAUUUGCCAAGAAUGUUUUCAUUAAUCAAGGACGAUAGUUAGAGGUUCGAAGGCGAUCAGAUACCGCCCUAGUUCUAACCGUAAACGAUGUCAACCAGCGAUCCGCAGGAGUUAUUCAUGACUCUGCGGGCAGCUUCCGGGAAACCAAAGUUUUUGGAUUCCGGGGGGAGUAUGGUUGCAAAGCUGAAACUUAAAGGAAUUGACGGAAGGGCACCACCAGGAGUGGAGCCUGCGGCUUAAUUUGACUCAACGCGGGGAACUCACCCGGCCCGGACACCGUAAGGAUUGACAGAUUGAGGCUCUUUCUUGAUUCGGUGGGUGGUGGUGCAUGGCCGUUCUUAGUUGGUGGAGCGAUUUGUCUGGUUAAUUCCGAUAACGAACGAGACUCUAGCCUACUAAAUUGAAGGCAAAUUAUUCGUUUACUGUACUUCUUAUGAGGGACUGAGGGGCGUCUAGCCUCACGAAGAUUGAG